rnacentral:snRNA from 1 species
GGAUGUGAGGGAAAGCUGGCUGUGACAUGCCACCCCACUGAUAGCCAGGGUUGAUUUGGCUGAGCUGACUGGCUAGGCGGGUGUCCCCUUCAUCCCUCACCACUCCACGUGUGUCCCUCCAGAAGCUGUGUGCUCAUCAAAGAGGACGACCAUAUCAACUAGAGGAGGACUACUCUUCAGUCAGGGGUAUACGAGUAGCUGCGCUCCCCUGCUAGAACCUCCAAACAAGCUUUCAAAUGCAUUCUACUCCAUUAUCUGUAAUUUCACCGUAUUCAUCUCUUACUCUACCAAAGCCUAGACAUCUAAUGACAAUGUCUCAUU